rnacentral:rRNA from 1 species
AUGUCCUUCUGGAAGCAGGAGCCGCCGAAGCCGACGCUGGCGGAGAGGAAGCGCGGGCCGAUGCGCGAGUCCUUGCCGAUGGAGCAGGCCACCUCGGUGACGUCGGCGCCGGUGGCCUCGCAGAGCGCGGAGAUGGCGUUGACGGAGGAGAUGCGCUGCGCGAGGAAGGCGUUGGCGGCGAGCUUGGACAGCUCGGCCGACCAGAGGUUGGUGGUGAUGAUGCGGUCCUCGGGGACCCAGCGCGCGUACACGUCCUUGAGGACCUUCACGGCGGCUUGGCCCUCGGGGGUCUCCCGGCCGCCGAUGAGGACGCGGUCGGGCGCGAAGAGGUCCCGCACGGCGGUGCCCUCGGCGAGGAACUCCGGGUUGGACAGGAUCUGGUAG